CCUACGGGUGGCAGCAGUGGGGGAUAUUGCACAAUGGAGGAAACCCUGAUGCAGCGACGCCGCGUGUGGGAAGACGGUCCUCUGGAUUGUAAACCACUGUCGCCAGGGACGAAGAUGACAGUACCUGGGGAGGAAGCUCCGGCUAAAUACGUGCCAGCAGCCGCGGUAAUACGUAGGGAGCGAGCGUUGUCCGGAAUUACUGGGUGUAAAGGGAGCGUAGGCGGGACUGCAAGUUGGGUGUCAAAGCAACCGGCUCAACCGGUAGCCGCGCUCAAUACUGCCGUUCUUGAGUGAAGUAGAGGCAGGCGGAAUUCCUAGUGUAGCGGUGAAAUGCGUAGAUAUGAGGAGGAACACCAGUGGCGAAGGCGGCCUACUGGGCUUUUACUGACGCUGAGGCUCGAAAGUGUGGGGAGCAAACAGGAUUAGAUACCCCAGUAGUC
rnacentral:rRNA from 1 species